AUGCCCCUCUCUCUCCCCGGCCCCGAGCGUGAUUCCUGCUGUAAAAUUCCCUCCCUGGCUUUAGCACUCGAACACCCUGGAGAAGCGGCAGGUGCCCCUGGUCACCUGUUGCUGCGAGGUUCCUGUCCUCUGACCAGGGUGUGCUAUUAUUUUAUUGUAUUGUAUUUUAUUUUUAUUUUUCAUACGGCGCUUGCUGCAAAUGCCCCAUUGCUCUCCGAAAGCGAUUUAUCCCUGGACGACGGGGAUUUUGCUCCCGAGCGCAGCAAAAGGCGCGGGCGGAGGCAGAGGCUGCUCGGGGAGGCUGCGGCGCUCGGCUCGCUGGGCUGCCGGGGCAACAGCAGCGGCCAGCCUGCAGCUGCCCCGCGCACGGGCACGGGGAAUUGCCAGGAUUUUCUCGGACAGGCAUUUCCAAAGAAAAGAGCGCUCUCUGUGUGUCUCUCUCUCACUGGCGCACACACCAAACCGCUCGGAUGCUUCACGACCGGCCACUUUGCGAGGGGAACAACACGGGAGGGUUUGUAUUACUCCAGCCCAGGUUUCAGGCAGGUUGGAUGCUUGCCCCACACGCCAACCCCUAAGCAGAGAGACUGGAGUAUGCUACCGUGGAGUUAAAGUCUAACUCCUCUGCAGCACGGUGAGGUUCCAGAAUCACUCUCCUUGCAGUCAUAAAGCUAGGAAGUGCAAUGACCAGGCAUGUGGUCCUGACCUCAGACUGAGGAUCCUUGGCCUAGAGUCAAGCAGUUGCUGCAGUCACCGAAACAGCCAAAUUCACUGUCUGCUUAGCCAUGGAUUAAAAUUCAUCCACUGAUCCAAGACA
rnacentral:lncRNA from 1 species